AUCUUUGCAAGGCAGAUGCAGGGCGGGUGUAACAAGAUUCACUUAUAAAAGUGCCAAUUUCUGUUGAAAUCUUUACGUUUUGUAAAAGAACAAAAAAAGGCAGACUUCGUGUUUUAGUGACUGGAGUGUCUCUUUAAAGUAUGCAUGCAGCAUCCACAUGAUUACAUUGUAAGUUCUCUAGCCAGAUAAUACACAUAUGCAGGGUAUAUACACUAUACCUGGCGUGACAAAAAUUAACUCUUCCCCCCCCCGUUGUAGAAUUACAACCCCAGUGCUGCUUUGCAAGUCUGGCCAUCCCUGUGUUUUACCAAACUACAGCUGCCUGAUGGUCUUGGUACCAUUCAUCUCUGGAUGCUACAGACAUCUCUGAAGAAGCUCUACUUUCCUGGAUUUUGAAUGUAAAAUAAUGGACAUUAUCUCGGAUUUUACUCAGGAUAUGAAUAUAUAUCUGUGAAUAUAUUUAGCCCUCUUAUUGCCGUAGGGUUUUGGCUGCAUUGAUUACUAUACAUCUAAUCCUUUGAGAUUUUACUAGGAUGCUUUCAAUGAUCCAGC